CGCUUUAUCGAGUCAUCGCUAGAGUGAUCUAUCAGAAGUCAGCAGACGGCAUACGACUGCAUGGAUGCAGAAGGUAGAGCAACGCAGGAGCAGUUGCC
rfam:Pseudoalteromonas porphyrae strain TCD-SED14 scaffold_15, whole genome shotgun sequence.